CAGGGCCUUCCAUCUUCUGCAUGUGGGUUCUGGAUCACGGUCAGCACCGGCAUCCCUGUGGUGCCCAGUCAUUGGGAGAGCACGGACGGGGCCUUCCAUCUUCUGCCUGUGGGUUCUGGAUCACGGUCAGCACCAGCAUCCCUGUGGUGCCCAGUCAUUGGGAGAGCACGGACGGGGCCUUCCAUCUUCUGCCUGUGGGUUCUGGAUCACGGUCAGCACCGGCAUCCCUGUGGUGCCCAGUCAUUGGGAGAGCAUGGACGGGUCCUUCCAUCUACUGCCUGUGGGUGCUGGAUCACGGUCAGCACCGGCAUCCCUGUGGUACCCAGUCACUCGGAGGGCAUGGAAGGGGCCUUCCAUCUUCUGCAUGUGGGUUCUGUAUCACGGUCAGCACCGGCAUCCCUGUGGUGCCCAGUCAUUGGGACGGCGUGGAAGGGGCCUUCCAUCUUCUGCAUGUGGGUUCCUGGAUCACGGUCAGCACCGGCAUCCCUGUGGUGCCCAGUCACUGGGAGAGCAUGGAAGGGGCCUUCCAUCUUCUGCAUGUGGGCUCCUGAAUCACGGUCAGCACCGGCAUCCCUGUGGUGCCCAGUCAUUGGGAGAGCGUGGAAGGGGCCUUCCAUCUUGUGCCUGUGGGUUCUGGACCAUGGUCAGCACCAGCAUCCCUGCAGGUACAACACUGUGCAGGGGCAUUCAGAAGCCAGGUCUGGGAGUUGCAUGGAUUAUUUCUACUCAUAUACCAUCGACUGGGACUCAUCUCAUGGCCAUACCAGACUUUGAAGAGUGGGUGGAGGUUAGAUGGAGAUUAUCUCUGUGAUCAGGAGAAGAAGGAAGGUGAUUUGAGGAACAGCCAGUUAGUCUCCGUCACACUUUUACUCAAAAUAAUUUCCACAUAAAAGAUUUUUCAGUGCGGAAACACACAUACUGUGUUUUGAAUACAUGUGUGUGUAAGUCUGCCAUGAACAGCUUUAUUUUCCCUCUGAAGGAUCACACACAUGCAUCUGGUUUGCCAUUCCACACGGAGGCUGGAAGUUUGUUAACUUGCAGAAUGAGAGCAAUAACCAGCUCUUCAGUGCCUUUUGUAACAUUUCCAGUGUUUCUUGUGGAAUCUAAGUGUUGACAUUUAUGGGAUUUGAUUACUAAUGUUGUCUCCAAAAUAAACAUCAAAUGAUGAUAGUGAUGACAAGGAAAAGAAUGACAAUGAUCAUUGAAUUAGCCAACAUUCUCUGCAAGCUUCCCAUGUUCUAGGCACUUUACGCACAUUUCCUCUCAAUGCUAACUUAUGACAUAGAUAUUGAUAUUACCCCCGUGUUAUGAAUUUAGCAUACUGAGUUUUAGACUGUCCAAAUAACUUGUCCAGUGUCAUUCAGUGGUGAAACCAUAACCAAUACAUGAAUACUAAGGUCCUUCCCCCUCACAUACAUGAAUCCUAAGGCCCUUCCCCCUCACAUACAUGAAUACUAAGGUCCUUCCACCUCACAUACAUGAAUACUAAGGUCCUUCCCCUUCACAUACAUGAAUACUAAGGUCCUUCCCCUUCACAUACAUGAAUACUAAGGUCCUUCCCCUUCACAUACAUGAAUACUAAGGUCCUUCGCCCUCACAUACAUGAAUACUAAGGUCCUUCCCCCUCACAUACAUGAAUAUUAAGGUCCUUCCACAUGACAUACAUGAAUCCUAAGGCCCUUCCCCCUCACAUACAUGAAUACUAAGGUCCUUCCCCCUCACAUACAUGAAUACUAAGGUCCUUCCACCUCACAUACAUGAAUACUAAGGUCCUUCCCCUUCACAUACAUGAAUACUAAGGUCCUUCCCCCUCACAUACAUGAAUACUAAGGUCCUUCUACAUCACAUACAUGAAUCCUAAGGUCCUUCCCCCUCACAUACAUGAAUACUAAGGUCCUUCCACCUCACAUACAUGAAUACUAAGGUCCUUCCACCUCACAUACAUGAAUACUACGGUCCUUCCCUUCACAUACAUGAAUACUAAGGUCCUUCCCCCUCACAUACAUGAAUAGUAAGGUCCUUCCACCUCACAUACAUGAAUCCUAAGGCCCUUCCCCCUCACAUACAUGAAUACUAAGGUCCUUCCCCCUCACAUACAUGAAUACUAAGGUCCUUCCACCUCACAUACAUGAAUACUAAGGUCCUUCCCCUUCACAUACAUGAAUACUAAGGUCCUUCCCCCUCACAUACAUGAAUACUAAGGUCCUUCUACAUCACAUACAUGAAUCCUAAGGUCCUUCCCCCUCACAUACAUGAAUACUAAGGUCCUUCCACCUCACAUACAUGAAUACUAAGGUCCUUCCACCUCACAUACAUGAAUACUACGGUCCUUCCCUUCACAUACAUGAAUACUAAGGUCCUUCCCCCUCACAUACAUGAAUAGUAAGGUCCUUCCACCUCACAUACAUGAAUACUAAGGUCCUUCCCCUUCACACAGAUGAAUAGUAAGGUUCUUCCACUUCACAGUGUGCAUUACUGAUCAGAUACGCCACUUCACGAGGCUCCAGGAGUUGAUUCCCUCCUUUCUAGGCAAAUAUGUUGGGCCACCUUCAAGGAUUUAUGCACAAAUAAUAAUUCCUGAUUACUCAUCCUGUAACCUGUAAUGUGGGAUUCUGGUAAAAGUGAAUGGGAGACGGCAGCUUACGUCUGAAGCAUCAAAUGGCCUCUGCCUCCAGUCCUAGACUUUCUGGGGUCCCCUUCCCAGUCCUCUGUCUGAGGAGAUCAAGGGGCACUUUUUGUUUUUACCAGUUAGUGUUUCUAGGUUUUAGGUUUCUCUCUACAGAGAAAAAACAAACUAAACUAUAAAAACAAGAAGAAAAGGCAGAUGUGUUGUCCCCUGGAUCCGAGGCCUCUGUCCCGUCUGCUGUCACCCCUGCCCCUUCCACAGCGGCCUUCGGUGUGUUUCCUGUGUCAUGUCCAGGGGUGUCUGUGGAACUGAGGUGGAGAAAUAGGAAUCAUGUGUCUCCUCUAUCUUGUCCAGAGCUGAAAGUUCUCUAUGUUGUUUUAUUUGCAUUUCCCUACAAGGCUGAUUAAAUAAGAAAAUUGUUGGAGCUUAUUGCAAAUUUACUGGAACCUGAAGAAGAAACAAAUAAAACACAUCAAGCAGAGACUAUGGACACAUACCCCAGGCAAGAGUGGUGGUGAAAGUUCUCAGCAGCCUGAACCGCACAUGUGUGAACUGAUUGGAAGAGGUGCUGGCCUUUGCCUGCCCGGGCUUGGGGAGCAGAAACGGCUCUGCUUCCCAGGAAAUUCCAGUCUUUAAGGCUUCUUUUCACAGAAUUAGGCUUUUCCAUAGGAAAGUCUCUUGAAUUUGACCCCAUUUCUUCUUUUUCCCUUCUAUUGCUAUUACCUUCAAGUAAAACUUCCUCACUCGUAUCUUAUGUUGACUACCACUUGAAUAGUUUUAAAGCUGUUUGUUUUCUUUCUAAGGAUCUUUUCCUUUUCAUCCCAUUUUCUUACAGGCUGCUGGUGUUACAUUUCUAAAGCACAGGCCUCCCUCUUACGUUCCUCUGCCAGCCUUUCCAUUGCAUAUGAGACACAUCCCUAAGUUCACAUGGAGAUAACCAAGGCCCUUCGCCAACUGGACAGCACCCGGCGGCUCCUACCUGGCCACUGUGCUUAGCGGUCCUGGCUUUGCCACAGCCUCUGAACAUUCGCAGAGCUCUGCCCUCGCUCCACAGCGGUCUCCUGUCGAUGGUCCCAGUUUCACCACAGCCUCUCAACAUUUGCAGAGCUUUGCCCUCGCUCCACAGCCAUCUCCUGUGGGGUGUCCGAGCUUCGCCACAGCCUCUGAACAUUCGCAGAGCUCUGCCCUCACUCCACAGCCGUCUCCCGCCUCUGAACAUUUGCAGAGCUCUGCCCUCGCUCCAUAGCCGUCUCCUGUGGAUGGUCCCAGUUUCACCACAGCCUCUCAACAUUUGCAGAGCUUUGCCCUCGCUCCACAGCCAUCUCCUGUGGAUGGUCCCAGUUUCACCAGAGCCUCUCAACAUUUGCAGAGCUCUGCCCUCGCUCCACAGCCGUCUCCUGUGGGGUGUCCGAGCUUCGCCACAGCCUCUGAACAUUCGCAGAGCUCUGCCCUCACUCCACAGCCGUCUCCCGCCUCUGAACAUUCGCAGAGCUCUGCCCUCGCUCCCAACCAUCUCCUGCGUGUUGUCCUUUCAGGGUGCUGCACCCACAGACGCUUAAUCAUUCUUCAAGACACAGGUCCGAUGUUGAAGUUGUGUUUCCUAAGUUGCCUACACUGCUCUCUCUUCUUGGAGCGCUAUCACCUCCUCUGCUAAUAUUUCACUCCCUGGUUCAUAUUUUAUGCAGUUUUCACAACACUAUCACUUUCCAGUAGAUCGCGAGCCCUGGGGUGCAGAGGCUGUUGGGUCAUCCUCAUCUCCCUAGUGCUGAGCUUGGUUUCCGACUUGCUGUGGGCCCUCAGGAAUGUCUGUGGAAAUAAACUGACUUGAAUUAAUUAAAUAAAGCAAUUCAGCUUAUGAGAAGGCAGAGUGUUAAGAUGUGGGGUCACAGCACACGAAGGGCACGGCAGAGGCACAGCAACUCCCCUGGUGACCCAGUGAAGGUGAGGACCCCAGGAGGAACUGAAAUACCAGACCCAGUGCAGGCGAGGAGGCCGGGAGGAACUGAAACACCAGACCCAGUGCAGGCGAGGACCCCGGGAGGAAAUGAAACACCAGACCCAGUGCAGGCGAGGAGGCCGGGAGGAAAUGAAACACCAGACCCAGUGCAGGCGAGGAGGCCGGGAGGAACUGAAACACCAGACGCAGUGCAGGCGAGGAGGCAGGGAGGAAAUGAAACACCAGACCCAGUGCAGGCGAGGAGGCCGGGAGGAACUGAAACACCAGACCCAGUGCAGGCGAGGAGGCCGGGAGGAAAUGAAACACCAGACUCAGUGCAGGCGAGGACCCCGGGAGGAAAUGAAACACCAGACCCAGUGCAGGCGAGGAGGCCGGGAGGAACUGAAACACCAGACCCAGUGCAGGCGAGGAGGCCGGGAGGAAAUGAAACACCAGACCCAGUGCAGGCGAGGACCCCGGGAGGAGAUGAAACACCAGACCCAGUGCAGGCGAGGAGGCCGGGAGGAUCUGAAAGACCAGACCCAGUGCAGGCGAGGAGGCCGGGAGGAAAUGAAAGACCAGACCCAGUGCAGGCGAGGAGGCUGGGAGGAAAUGAAACACCAGCUUUGUGAAAUUUCUGGAUUUGGUGAGAAGCCUCUGGUGUCUGGUUAGUCUUUAAACAAGUGCUGACUUCGGCUUUGCCUGCAUUGGUCAGUUAGACUUUCUUGGUUAUGUGGCUUACAACCGGGAAGUGGCCUGGGGUUUCUUGAAGUCGACUCAUAUGUACAGCAAAUUCAAUAAUCCAUUUUCUGGAAUUAAAUGUCUGUCCAGUUUAGACUCAAUUUAAGGAAAGGAAUAGAUUUGGCAAUACACGUAGGUACGUUGAUCAUAUGCGAUGUGAACUUGGGGAUCAGCUUGCUGCUUAGAGAUUUCCUUAGUGAUUCCUCAUCGAUAAAAUGAACUGUUACAUUUAAGAUGCUGAUAGAAGUAAAUAUUUUUUUGAACAAGG
rnacentral:lncRNA from 1 species